GGCCUAAUACAUGCAAGUCGAGCGGCAAGUUGAGUAGUAAUACUUAACCUAGAGCGGCGCACGGGUGCGUAACGCGUAUGCAACCUACCUUUUACUGGGGGAUAGCCCGGAGAAAUCUGGAUUAAUACCCCAUGGUACCUAGAGGUCGAAUGAUUUUUAGUUUAAAGAUUUAUCGGUAAGAGAUGGGCAUGCGUCUGAUUAGCUAGUUGGCGGGGUAACGGCCCACCAAGGCGACGAUCAGUAGGGGUUCUGAGAGGAAGGUCCCCCACACUGGCACUGAGAUACGGGCCAGACUCCUACGGGAGGCAGCAGUAGGGAAUAUUGGGCAAUGGUCGCAAGACUGACCCAGCCAUGCCGCGUGCAGGAAGACGGCCCUCUGGGUUGUAAACUGCUUUUAUCUGGGAAGAAAAAGUCCAUGCGUGGAAAAUUGCCGGUACCAGAUGAAUAA
rnacentral:rRNA from 1 species